rnacentral:rRNA from 1 species
AUUGAACGCUGGCGGCAGGCCUAACACAUGCAAGUCGAACGAGUGGCGGACGGGUGAGUAAUGUCUGGGAAACUGCCUGAUGGAGGGGGAUAACUACUGGAAACGGUAGCUAAUACCGCAUACCAUCAGAUGUGCCCAGAUGGGAUUAGCUAGUUGGUGGGGUAACGGCUCACCAAGGCGACGAUCCCUAGCUGGUCUGAGAGGCUGACCAGCAAGCAUGGAGCUGAGACACGGUCCAGAUUCCUACGGGAGGAAGCAGUGGGGAAUAUUGCACAAUGGGCUCAAGCCUAAUGCAGCCAUGCCGAGUGUAUGAAGAAGGCCUUCGGGUUGUAAAGUACUUUCAGCGGGGAGGCGUUACCCGCAGAAGAAGCACCGGCUAACUCCGUGCCAGCAGCCGCGGUAAUUC